UACGUAGGGUCCGAGCGUUGUCCGGAUUUAUUGGGCGUAAAGAGCUCGUAGGCGGUUCAGUAAGUCGGGUGUGAAAACUUUGGGCUCAACCCAAAGCCUGCAUCCGAUACUGCUGUGACUUGAGUUCGGUAGGGGAGCGGGGAAUUCCUAGUGUAGCGGUGAAAUGCGCAGAUAUUAGGAGGAACACCGGUGGCGAAGGCGCCGCUCUGGGCCGAAACUGACGCUGAGGAGCGAAAGCGUGGGUAGCAAACAGG
rnacentral:rRNA from 1 species